GCACAGUCAGCUUGAUGUUGAGGAGAAGGGCUGUGCAGCAGAGAGGCGCUUUAGUUUUUCAUUCUCCUGCAGUGGAAGAACAUUGCUGCUCUGCUGUCUCUUUGACUUUAACAACUCCAAAGACAUGUUGCUUCACCUCUUUUUACUUUGCUCUCACUUUAUAGCUCUGAGUUCCAUGAACAGCAUAAAGCCAGAAAGGACUGAAGAACAUGUUGCAGAGGGAAGAAACAUCAACCUGGCCUGUAAAUACGAGGGUGCUAUCAACAGUAUCCAGUGGUACCGACAACACCAGAGAUCCAGACCAGAGUUCCUGCUCUACAUCACAGAGGGAGGAUUAAUCCAUCCAACUGGUUCUGGUUUCUCAGCUCACAUCAACAAAACAGAGAAACGUGUAGAUGUGGAGAUCAUCUCAGCUAAAGUGACUGACUCUGCUGUGUACUACUGUGCUCUGCAGCCCACAGUGACAGGAAACAGCAAAACUCUGCACAAAAACCUCUGCAGCAAACACAACACAAUACUCCACAACGUCCACUAGAGGGAGUCACACACUGUUCAACGUCAAUGGGAUGUGAUGAUCCAGUGUUGAAUGUUUUCACUCAUGAGACACAGCUGUGAUGAUGAGCUUCACAAAUGAAGACCAGUCUCCUCCUACUGACUGCAGAAGUGUUUCAUGAGAACUGUUUGUUUCCAGCUGUGAACAUCAGACCAACAACUCACAGAACUCAUUCAUACUGAACGUUCACUGACAACUUUUCACCUCUGCAA